UGCGGCUGCACGGAGGGGCAGAGGCCCAGGCCGCUGGGCCUGAGAGGGGCGUCGGGACUUGGUGCGGGUUGCGGGUGGGGAUGGGCGUCCGAGGGAUGUAGCGAGUGUCGGGGGACAGGGAGUCCCCGAGUCCCCAGUGUAGCCCCCAGAUGAGCUCGCAGUAUUUUCCUUAUAUGAUCGGGCCCCGUUGCUGGCGGCGCCGCUGGCCCGGAGCCUGAGAGGAUUAUAAAAACGUUUCAGGAAGCCUCCAAGUAUUACCAUGUCAUCGAGCAUCCAGGCUUUUGGUUGCUACAGCUGUAGGCAUCAUGUCUGCACCAAACCAUGUUCAGAUGGGGGAAGUUUCUAUCUUGGAAAGCAGGCUCUGCCAGUAAGGAUGAAAGCUGGAGAAAAGGCUGUUGAGUCGGCGGCCAUCAGUGCCAGGCACAACGGCCUUUAUAAACAAUUACACAGACUGUCAUGUAACCUACACUCUCUCAUAUUGCAUACUGACAUCUCUAAAUUGCUUCGAUGAACUUGGACUUGUCUAUCUUCGCUCAUAAUUGAGAAAUUGGAGCUCUGGCCUUUUGUACUACCUGUCAAUCAAAAGUUCUACUCUAGCGGUGUCCUCUCAUUGGAUGAACGGCACUGUGCAAUUGCUCAGAUUUACUACGAAAUUUAAUGUUGAUAUUAAUUUAAAACAAGUAGCAAAUAGAAAAAUUAAAAUGCUGCUCAUUGGGUAUAGUGCCUAGCACACAGGAGGUACUCAAUAAUUAUUUGUGGCAUUAAGCAAUGCUACUCAUAAAAUUAAAGCCAAAAUAGAAUUGUUUUGGUGAGCCAAAACAUGUAUUUUAUCUCAAGUUGGCGCUUAAUGAACUUAAGCCAAACUGUGUGUUUUGUAAUGGAGAAAAUAAAAACCAGAAAGAGAAUGUAAAGUGAAUUAUG
rnacentral:lncRNA from 1 species